rnacentral:pre_miRNA from 1 species
AUGACAUUCGGACCGUCGGUCUACCGACCAAAUAUCACCCGUUUGGUGGAAGAUCUUCCUUUCGUCGU